rnacentral:rRNA from 1 species
UGGGGAAUUUUGCACAAUGGGGGAAACCCUGAUGCAGCGACGCCGCGUGAUUUAGAAGGCCUUCGGGUUGUAAAAAUCUUUUCUAUGGGAAGAAAAUGACAGUACCAUAGGAAUAAGGACCGGCUAAUUACGUGCCAGCAGCCGCGGUAAUACGUAAGGUCCGAGCGUUGUCCGGAAUCAUUGGGCGUAAAGGGUACGUAGGCGGGUAAGCAAGUUAGAAGGGAAAUCCUAUAGCUCAACUAUAGUAAGCUUUUAAAACUGCUCAUCUGGUGGUAUGGAAGGGAAAGUGGAAUUCGUAGUGGGGCGGUGAAAUGCGCAGAGAUUAGGAGGAAUACCGGUGGCGAAGGCGACUUUCUGGCCAUAACCUGACGCUGAGGUACGAAAGCGUGGGGAGCAAACAGG